rnacentral:lncRNA from 1 species
AGAAUGGUUCUGUCCAAAAUUUUGAUCAAGUGGCGGACGGUCCGCCAACCAAGGUCGGACCAUCCACCUCUAUAACUUCGCGUCCCAACAGAACAAGACUUUGUUCUAUCUAAAAACCAAAUCAGAAGGCGGAACGUCCACCCACUCAAGGUCGGGCUGUCCACCCUUUAGUGUUUCAGCACAUCAACACCAACUCAGAAACGGUUAAGUCAAAAUAACAGUCCACCUUUACAAGGGAGAUCGUCC